rnacentral:rRNA from 1 species
CCUACGGGGGGCAGCAGUGAGGAAUAUUGGUCAAUGGACGAGAGUCUGAACCAGCCAAGUAGCGUGAAGGAUGACUGCCCUAUGGGUUGUAAACUUCUUUUAUAUGGGAAUAAAACGUUCCACGUGUGGGAUUUUGUAUGUACCAUAUGAAUAAGGAUCGGCUAACUCCGUGCCAGCAGCCGCGGUAAUACGGAGGAUCCGAGCGUUAUCCGGAUUUAUUGGGUUUAAAGGGAGCGUAGGUGAAUUGUUAAGUCAGUUGUGAAAGUUUGCGGCUCAACCGUAAAAUUGCAGUUGAAACUGGCAGUCUUGAGUACAGUAGAGGUGGGCGGAAUUCGUGGUGUAGCGGUGAAAUGCUUAGAUAUCACGAAGAACUCCGAUUGCGAAGGCAGUUCACUGGACUGCAACUGACACUGAGGCUCGAAAGUGUGGGUAUCAAACAGGAUUAGAUACCCGAGUAGUC